GACGAACGCUGGCGGCGUGCUUAACACAUGCAAGUCGAACGGAAAGGCCCUGCUUUUGUGGGGUGCUCGAGUGGCGAACGGGUGAGUAACACGUGAGUAACCUGCCCUUGACUUUGGGAUAACUUCAGGAAACUGGGGCUAAUACCGGAUAGGAGCUCCUGCUGCAUGGUGGGGGUUGGAAAGUUUCGGCGGUUGGGGAUGGACUCGCGGCUUAUCAGCUUGUUGGUGGGGUAGUGGCUUACCAAGGCUUUGACGGGUAGCCGGCCUGAGAGGGUGACCGGCCGCAUUGGGACUGCGAUACGGCCCAGACUCCUACGGGAGGCAGCAGUGGGGAAUAUUGCACAAUGGGCGGAAGCCUGAUGCAGCAACGCCGCGUGCGGGAUGACGGCCUUCGGGUUGUAAACCGCUUUCGCCUGUGACGAAGCGUGAGUGACGGUAAUGGGUAAAGAAGCACCGGCUAACUACGUG
rnacentral:rRNA from 1 species